UUUUCUGUUCCUCUUUCUUUCUUUCUUUCUUUCAUUUUUAUGUUUUGGUCUAUAGUUUCUUUCGUUGUAGAUUGUGCUCUGUUGAAGAGAAUUGGCAUCUGGGUAAUGAUUUUUUGGAUAUUCAAUUGCUGGUUUUGAUUGCUAUCUCAUUUCACUUUUUUAUUAGUCUUUGUUGUUAGUGUUUUGGUAUUAUCCUUUUGGUUAUUUAUUUAUUUUAAUUUUACAUAUUGCAUUCAUUUUUAAUGAAUCAAAACUUUUGGUUAUGCAUCUUUCGUUCUAAAUAUUUGUUCCUAUUAUUUGGGUAAUGAUCAUUGCAUAUAGUCAUUGAUUUUAUAAUUGCAUUUGCUUUUAAUACUUAUGGUUGUGAAUAUUUAUGCCCAGAAUUAAAAGAUACCAUAUUGAAAAAGCACGUAAUUGUUUCGACGGAUAAGUGAGAUUUUUUUUUUUGGUAUAAUAUUAGUGAGAUUUAAUAUAGUGUUUUUUUUACUUGAAUUGAGUGUUUCUCAAAUUUAUUAAUGUUUUGAUUUUGGUAGUACACCAUGCUGCUUUAUUCAUGCUUCCUUUGUUUAAAGCCUUGUAAAAGGCUAUCUUAAUUAUCCAUAUUGCUCGAUCUUGAAGCAAGAGUAGAAUAUGACCAGUGUGUUAGCCUUUGUGCAUAUAGGAAUGAAAGUAGUAAUAUUGAAGUAAUAUAAUCGAGGGAAGUGGCAGAUGUACCUAAACAAAGAAGCAGGCUUGAAUAUCUAUUUUGUUAUGAUAAGUCCAUGUGGGAGGAGAGAAUUGAGAAGCCGGUUGGUAUAUCUUAAGCUGAAAAAAGAAUUGGAGAUAAUCAGCGAUGCACUGAUUGUGAUGCCAAAGGUGCACUUCUUUGCACCACUUGCUCAGGUUCAGGGUUAUAUGUUGACUCUACAUUGGAGAGCCAGGGUAUCAUAGUAAAAGUCCGCUGGCUAGGCUGUGGAGGGACAGGUAACGUUAUGUGCUCAGAAUGUGGUGGGCGUGGUCAUCUUGGACCCAAAUGACCUGCAUGGUUUGCUUUUCUUCCUGGGAUUUUGUUGUAGCCUUGUUUGUUCUAACAUUUACAAAUUAAAGGUCACAUUUAUUAUAGAGGUUUUGUACGGUUCCAUCUUUGAUGAUUUGUGAUAAAUUUUAUGCAAAAAUUUCAUGUAUUUGACUCAAUUCAUUUCUUAAUGUUAUCAUGCCUCAAUUUUUUUGAAAGGUAUUGAUCUGCAUUUAAUUUAUGGACAAACUAUGAGUUGGCUUCAUUUUGCUUCUGUUUGUCCAUUUAGUACAUUGAAACAUGAUGGACGCAUCUGCUUUUGCUAUUUUGCUUUCUUAACAAUAAACAUUAUAGCUGAAAACGGAGUUGGAAAUCAUGGUUCACCUAGAAUCAAAUUAAUUGCAAAGUUUUGACCUUUGCGUCAUUGUUAUAUAAUCCUUUGUGACCUGAUUUCUGGUGGGAUUCUGGUUUAUGACCAUAGUACAUAUUUAUUUGAGUGAAAUUUGAUGUUUUGGAGGAUUAUCUGCAUUAGCACUUCCAAAGCUUACUAAAACAGAAAAAAUUAGAGAUGAGAUUCAAUCUAAAAGAAGACUGAUUUACAGCAUAAGUUUAAGUCAUUCUUAAACCAAAAAGUGGAACUUUGAGAAAUUCACAUGUUUCUAAGUAUCAAUUGAAUCAUCUUUAGUGGUAUAUCCAGUGCAAGUUUUUGGACUCGAUGUAACCGUAAGUCCAUAUCAGUAAACCAUAUCAAAGUUGGCUUCCAGGAUUGUUAACCUCCAUGUCUCUGAAGCUCUUGAAUGCGAACUGGAAUGGACGGGUCGAACCUUAGGCCUUGUGGAUUCUCUGCAUAAGCAACGUAGUAAGCUGAAACGCAUGCUUGUGGCCACGCCAUUGCUAUCCGACACUGAGGAACACAAACAUUGACAUCAAACCUGAGUCCAUGUCAGGCUCAGCAGGAUCAUCAAAAUGAACAAGAUAUCUAUUCCAGUUCCAGUAAUGGUGGCACCGCCUAUCCCAGACACCAAGAAGCUGGAAUAGAUGAUGCUUGUGACAAUCGAGUUGAGGACCAGUGCAGUAGUUUUGGCAGGCGGGAAAGUUGUAGAAACUGAUAGAACCUUGAUGGCAUAAUUGAAUCUGGGAUUCACCCAACAAGCAUAAAGGGAUUGAAUGAGGGCAAAAACAACCGCAAUUGUACCUAGUGCCAGACUUGCAGCAGAGCCAAUUAGCACCAGCAGUAUCCCAACUGCACAUGUUAGCAAGGGGCUAAGCCAAAAUGCUGCUCUUAUGGCCUUUGAAGGGUAGCAGAGGGUGAUUUGUUGCCAAGUGAAAGCUACAAUUCCAGAGCAUGCUAUUGCAGUCAGGAGUGGGGGAUACCACUUCUUGGGGUGGAAAUGGUGGCUGUGUACAGAGAGCAGGCCACGGAUGGUGAGGAAGAUUACUAGGAUGGUGGUUAGGAUUAUGUGUACGAAGAAAAGGACUCGGAAAAGCCUCUGAACAAAUUGCGCCGCCACCUUUGCAGUCUCGAUCUGAAUGCUUGAUUCUUGAACCUGCAAAAAAAAACAAAGCAAUUAGGUUGACACUUUAGCAAAUGAACUCCUAGUAGAUGUCAUAAGCUACACACUAAAAGAUACACGAAAUUAGUUACUUAGAGGAUUAAUGAGGAAGAUCCAGAACAAGAAAUGAAGAAGCAAGAACGGAUAUGGGCCGGAAAUGCUACCUCGGAGAGAAAAAUGGGGUCAGUUGACUUAGAUCAGGAACUUCAAAGAAACAAGAAAUGAGUUCAGGGAAUUGCAGAGAAUCUUGAUGGAAAACGAUGAUGGGGAAAGAAAAUAUAAAACAAGAAACAGGUUCAAGAGUGAGAGAGAGAACCUCGAUAGGGUUUGUAGAUUGACGUCUAUCUUCUUGAACUUGAAUGAGGAAGUUCUGCAUAUUAAUAGCUGUAACAAAACUGGAGUCUUUAUUUCUUUCCAUUGAUAGCUAAACUUAAAAAUCUCCAAGUCAAGAACUCUUUAUUUGUUUAUAACAUUUCUUGGUUUUUCUCUCA